rnacentral:rRNA from 1 species
UCUGCCGGAAAAAUUUCUCGGUUUUGUGGGGAGGGUAAAUUCUCCUAAGGCUAAAUAACGGCGAGAGACCGAUAGCGAACAAGUACCGUGAGGGAAAGAUGAAAAGAACUUUGAAAAGAGAGUUAAACAGUACGUGAAAUUGUUGAAAGGGAAACGAUUGAAGCCAGUCGUACCUUCGGGUAAUCAGCCUUUCGGGUGCGAUUCUGUGGAGUUUGAGGAGCUUAACACCUUCAUGCUUUGCAUAUUCGUGCUCUUGGGUGUGCUUGCCCGUGUGGUUGGUUAACAUCAAUUUCGGGCACCAUAAAAUGGCUGGAGGAAUGAGCUUCUAUAAUAACGGAUGGGGUUUUAUGUAUGAAAAAAAGUGCUUUGAGUUGUAACCGGAAGGCGGGUUGCUUUUGGCCUAUUAUACUC